rnacentral:rRNA from 1 species
UACGUAGGGGCCGAGCGUUGUCCGGAGUUAUUGGGCGUAAAGCGCGCGCAGGCGGCCUCGCGCGCCCGACGUGAAAGCCCCCGGCUUAACCGGGGAGGGUCGUUGGGGACGGCGGGGCUUGAGGGCGGGAGAGGUCGGUGGAAUUCCCGGUGUAGUGGUGAAAUGCGUAGAGAUCGGGAGGAACACCUGUGGCGAAGGCGGCUCUCUGGGACGGUACUGACGCUGAGACGCGAAAGCGUGGGAGCGAACAGG